GUACAUUCAACUGAAAAUCUAUGAAUAGAGGAUAUUUCAUUAUAUUUCAUCAAACACUGCAAGAUGUAACAACUGCAGAUCCUUGUACUUCCCCAACUUAAUGCAUGGCAAUAAAUUAAGCAAUACAGACACAAACAGUAGGAAGUGCUAUAGGCAUAAUUUGCUUCCUCAAAACAGUGUUGAGAGUGACCUAUCAACGUGAAGGGCAAUGCAUUGUGGUUAAUUUGCAUUUAUUUGGUUUGCAGAUGUGUUGCACAAACUGACAUACAGAAUAUGUGCGUUAUGUAAAUCAGCUUGUGAAGAACGAUUCUGCAAAGUAAAUUACUGUUGUGACAUUAAUGUUUAUGUACAGAACAACUUGAAAAAGUUUGUUAAACCUACUAGGUUUUGUUUUCUAAUUUAGGCCCUAUACUCAUUCUUUUGCCAGUCUGAUUUUAUAUUCUUUGCUCUUGUUCAUGGAGUAGCACACACCAGACUAUCCCUAAUGAUGCCAUUAAAGCAGAAGGAAAUAAACUCUACUUCUUGAAACUGACGUCUGACCUCAGUGGCCUGUAUAUCUGUGAGGCUUCAAAUGAGUAUGGUAAAGGAAUCGGCUCACUUUACUGGCAAAAAGGAGAAAAGCCAGAAGACAUUCAUUCUGAGCUCUGAGUCCUUUAUACUGGAUGAAAUUUUAAUAUUUUCUCAGUGUCAUCAAAGUCCCUUUAAGGAAAUUCAGGAAUAAAAGCUGGCAACAAUUAUAUUAUGCUUCUUAAAUUCAAGUCACACUAAAAUCUAUCUUUUUCAGGCAGGCCAAGAUGCAAAUUUAAUUCACAGUGGAUAUCAACAAGGUAACUUUUAACUGAAAGGGAUGAUAACAUAUUGCCAUACUUAGCAUUGUGCUUUCUCCCAUCUAUGUAUGAGUGGACCAGCUGCCUUGCAUAGUCUCUGAAUUUUAUAUUUUAUUAACUUAUUUGUUGCCAGUGACUUUUUUUUAAUACAAUACAAAAAUAUAUUCAUAAUAUUUAUAUUAGCAGAUAUAGAAAAAUAUGAAUUUCAGAAUGCCUUAGUUUUAGGGUUGUUAAACUUUAUUUAUAUUUGUCAUUAAGAAACAUGGACAAACAUUAAUAGACAAACAGUCAGAACAACUUCAUGAAUGCAAUUAUUGGUCUCCUUUCUUGAUUUGAGGUAGGAAAAAGUAUAUUUAAAAAAAUAAAAGUUAUGCCUGAAUUGAAGUCA
ensembl:lncRNA